AUACGGUUUUACGUACGCAGAGAAGCAGUUUAUUGAUUUUUCCGUAAUCAUUAAUGUUUUCCAAGGCAUUAAACUGAAGAAUUGCCUUGACAAUUGAACAGUCAUGCUGGAUAAUUGUAAUCUCUUUUGAGCAAGGACUAUGCUAAUUUGGAAAGGAAUAACUGAGAGUCUAGUUCACAAUUUUCAUCAAGCUUUUGAAUAAAUCGAUUGAUUUGGCAGUAUUAAACUUGACAUUUUCAUGGUAUCGUUUAGAAGGCUUUCUAUGCUAGGACGUAGGAGAGGAAAUCUUUGGUGCAGAAGAACAUGGAGCUUUGUUGCUGUUAGUUGUUACAUGCUCUUUUAUUAAGCUGAUAUACUCUUUAUUUUGCUUGACAUUCAA